rnacentral:rRNA from 1 species
AAACCAGCACCUCAAGUGGUCAGGAUGAUUAUUGGGCCUAAAGCAUCCGUAGCCUGCUCUGUAAGUUUUCGGUUAAAUCUGUACGCUCAACGUACAGGCUGCCGGGAAUACUGCAGAGCUAGGGAGUGGGAGAGGUAGACGGUACUCGGGAGGAAGUAGUAAAAUGCUUUGAUCUCUCGAUGACCACCUGUGGCGAAGGCGGUCUACCAGAACACGUCCGACGGUGAGGGAUGAAAGCUGGGGGAGCAAACCGGAUUAGAAACCCCGGUAGUCC